CGCGGCCUAUCAGCUUGUUGGAGAGGUAACGGCUCACCAAGGCGAUUACGGGUAGCUGGUCUGAGAGGACGAUCAGCCACACUGGAACUGAGAUACGGUCCAGACUCCUACGGGAGGCAGCAGGAGGGAAUCUUGCGCAAUGGGCGAAAGCCUGACGCAGCGACGCCGCGUGGGGGAUGAAUGCCUUAGGGUUGUAAACCCCUUUCACGAGGGAAGAAACUGACGGUACCUCGAGAAGAAGCCCCGGCCAACUACGUGCCAGCAGCCGCGGUAAUACGUAGGGGGCGAGCGUUGUCCGGAUUUAUUGGGCGUAAAGGGCUCGUAGGCGGCUUGGCAAGUCGGCCGUGAAAACCCAGGGCUCAACUCUGGGACGCCGGUCGAUACCGCCAUGGCUAGGGUCCGGUAGAGGGGAACGGAAUUCCCGGUGUAGCGGUGAAAUGCGCAGAUAUCGGGAGGAACACCAGUAGCGAAGGCGGUUCCCUGGGCCGGCGCCGACGCUGAGGAGCGAAAGCGUGGGUAGCAAACAGGAUUAGAUACCCUGGUAGUCCACGCCGUAAACGUUGGGCACUAGGUGUGGGGUCUAUUCAACGGACUCCGUGCCGCAGCUAACGCAUUAAGUGCCCCGCCUGGGGAGUACGG
rnacentral:rRNA from 1 species